UACGUAGGGUGCGAGCGUUAAUCGGAAUUACUGGGCGUAAAGCGUGCGCAGGCGGUUUUGUAAGUCAGAUGUGAAAUCCCCGGGCUCAACCUGGGCACUGCAGUUGGAACUGGCAAGCUAGAGUAGGGUAGAGGGGUGUGGAAUUCCAGGUGUAGCGGUGAAAUGCGUAGAUAUCUGGAGGAACAUCAGUGGCGAAGGCGACACCCUGGACUCAUACUGA
rnacentral:rRNA from 1 species